UUGCAGAUACUUUACAAGUAACAAGUUAAAUGGAAUAGUACCAAGUUGGAUCACAGACAAAGGAGACACGAUUGAUCUUAGUUACAAUAACUUCUCCAAAGAUAUUACAACCGAGAAAUGUCAACAUAUAUCCGUGAAUAUGUUUUCAAGCACAAGCCCUUUAGCGGCAAAUAACUCCUCAACUGUUUCGUGUCUGA